rnacentral:misc_RNA from 1 species
GAUGAAGAACGCAGCGAAAUGCGAUAAGUAGUGUGAAUUGCAGAAUUCAGUGAAUCAUCGAAUCUUUGAACGCACAUUGCGCCCUUUGGUAUUCCAAAGGGCAUGCCUGUUCGAGCGUCAUUUGUACCCUCAAGCUUUGCUUGGUGUUGGGCGUCUUGUCUCUAGCUUUGCUGGAGACUCGCCUUAAAGUAAUUGGCAGCCGGCCUACUGGUUUCGGAGCGCAGCACAAGUCGCACUCUCUAUCAGCAAAGGUCUAGCAUCCAUUAAGCCUUUUUUUCAACUUUUGACCUCGGAUCAGGUAGGGAUACCCGCUGAACUUAAGCAUAUCAAAAGCGGAGGA